AUUUGGCGGUGUCUUAUAUAAUCAGGGGAACCUGUCUCUUAAUUCGAUAACCCACGAAAAAUUAACCUAUUUUUGAAUAUCAGCUUGUGUACUGCUGUCGUCAGUAAACCUCUAAAAGAUAGUUUACAAUAAUAAUAAUAUUAUUUACGUCAAGUCAAAGUGCAGCCUAUAAAUAGGUGGACGAUGGGUUACAAUCUCAAUACAGAUACGGAAAAAUUUAUUUUGAAGGUGGACUUGACAGUAAUUAUAUUCCUAGUAUUAUAAACUAUAAUCUAAGACAUGCACACAUCGCCCGUCACUCCCAUCAUAAGAUG
rnacentral:rRNA from 1 species